UGGACCAUUUAGAGAGCUCCAAGUCCCUAAUGCUUAUCCAUGGGGCAACCGAUGCCACCUUUUGCCGUACUUUUUCAUCUACUUUGAAGGAUAUAGCUAGGUAUUGGUAUACCAGUUGAAGCCCCUAACGAUUUAUUCUUUUGAUCAAAUGAGCUAGUUAUUUGUUGGCCAUUUCGUGAGUAGUCGGAGGAAGCAAAAAGGAUCAA
rnacentral:lncRNA from 1 species